UUAAACAAGCUGUCGUGUGUGUUCAGAGUUCUGCAGACGUUCAUCACCUCCACAGACAUUAAAGGAGACUUUCUAACGUGGAGGAGUGCGUGCUGUCCCCAAGGUCAGCGAAAGCCAGCCAGAAGGUCACUGCAAGGAGAAGAGACAGCCGUGCUGCCCAGGGGAAGGGGCAGGGCUCAGGCCGAGUGGCCGCUAUGUACAAGGGGUUGUAUGUGACCGGAUGACCCACCGUGAGAAGAUUCCCUGAGCUGCUUCCAGGAAGAAAUUGGGGGUUGACUUGCCUCUGCCACUGGAGAAGAGGUGAGGGCCUUCUGCUGCCGGUUCAGUGGCCAGACAAACGAGACGAAGUCAAAGGCCUUCGGGGAUGUUGGCAAGGCUUGGUGGUUCCUUCUACCCAGAAUGAAAAUGAUCAUAAAAGAACAUUUUCUUGGGACUUCCCUGGUGGCUCAGUGGAUAGGAAUCCGCCUGCCAGUGCAGGAGACAUGGGUUCAAUCCUUCGUCCUGGAAGAUUCCUGGAAGAUUCUAGAGCCUGUGUUCUGCAACUAGAGGAGCCACCACAAUGAGAAGCUCACGCCCCGCAACAAAGAGUAGCCCCUGCUCACUGCAACUAAGAAAGCCCACAUAUCAACGAAGACCCAACACAGCCAAAAAUAAACACACAAAUAAAUACUUUUUAGAAAGAACAUCUUCUUGCUUCCCUGGGUGCCAUUUCCCAGUGGGUCACAGUGCGACGAGGCUGGGCAGGGGGGCACAUCUUCCCAGCUGAACUCUCUCUCCUGCUCGUAGUGGUGUCCUUCAGCAAUGGCUAAUGAUGGUAGCUUCUCAAGGUGUACCUUAAGAUCAUAACCUCUUUUCAGACCAGCUCAAGUUGUGGGUUUUAUAGCCAAACCAUUGUUAAUUGAAGAUGAGUCCUCCUGGCAUCCACAUGAAUAGCUGCUUAACCUGACCAGCAGCCCAUAUCCAGUGAUGCCAUGCAAGAGCAAAGAGAUGCCAGCAACUUGUCGCCAGAGCAAUUGUGACUGUUCCCAGUGAUGCACGGUAGCUCUUGACCUCAGCACCCUUCACUGCGUCCUUGAGCUUCAGUCCUGUUGUUAUGUCUGCAUUAAAAACAAUACAAAAGCUUUUCAGUGUCUCCAUUCCUGUUGCUCUGUCAGUUCAGUUCAGUCACUCAGUCAUGUCUGACUCUUUGUGAC